rnacentral:rRNA from 1 species
GUGGAUUAGAUACCCUGGUAGUCCACGCCCUAAACGAUGUCAACUAGGUGUUGGUGGGGUUAAACCCAUUAGUACCGCAGCUAACGCGUGAAGUUGACCGCCUGGGGAGUACGGCCGCAAGGUUAAAACUCAAAGGAAUUGACGGGGACCCGCACAAGCGGUGGAUGAUGUGGAUUAAUUCGAUGCAACGCGAAAAACCUUACCUACCCUUGACAUGCCAGGAACCUUGCUGAGAGGUGAGGGUGCCCGAAAGGGAGCCUGGACACAGGUGCUGCAUGGCCGUCGACAGCU